CCGACGGUGAGGGACGAAGCCUAGGGGCACGAACCGGAUUAGAUACCCGGGUAGUCCUAGGUGUAAACGCUGUGGACUUGAUGUUGGGGGUGCUCCGAGCACUCUCAGUGUCGAAGCGAAGGUGAUAAGUCCACUGCCUGGGAAGUACGGUCGCAAGGCCGAAACUUAAAGGAAUUGGCGGGGGAGCACCGCAACCUGAGGAUUGUGCGGUUUAAUUGGAUUCAACGCCGGAAAACUCACCAUAGCCGACGGACAAAUGAAGGUCAGUGUAAUGAACUUACCGGAUUGUUCGAGAGGUAGUGCAUGGCCGCCGUCAGUUCGUACCGCAAGGCGUUCUGUUAAGUCAGAUAACGAACGAGACCCUCAUCUCUAUUUGCUAACUGGAUCUCCGGAUCCAGUGCACUAUAGGGAGACCGCUGGCGCUAAGUCAGAGGAAGGGGAGGGCAACGGUAGGUCAGUAUGCUCCGAAUGCUAUGGGCUACACGCGCAAUACAAAGGACAGGACAAUGGGCUGCUGCUCCGAAAGGAAUGAUAGCUAUCCCGAAACCUGUUCGUAGUUCGGAUUGAGGGCUGUAACUCGCCCUCAUGAAGCUGGAUUAGGUAGUAAUCGCGUCUCAAAAAGGCGCGGUGAAUAUGCCCCUGCUCCUUGCACUCACCGCCCGU
rnacentral:rRNA from 1 species